UAUUUGCAAAUCAUAUAUCUGCUAAGGAUGUAUUACCCAGAAUAUAUAAAAAACACAAUAAUAAGACAACCCAAUUGAAAAAUGGACAAAGGAUUUGAAUGGACGUUUCUCCAGAGAAGGUAUACAAAAGUUCAAUAAGCACAUGAAAAUAUACAAACUUCAUUAGUCACUAGGAAAACGCAAAUCAAAUCCACAACGAGAAACCACUUCACACCCACUAGGAUGAGUACAGGAAGAGAAAAAUGGGCAAUGACAAGCGUUGUCCAGGAUAUCAGGAAAUCGGAACUCUCACCCACUGCCAAUGGGAAUGUAAAAUGAUGUAGCAGCUUUGGAAAGUACUUUGGCAGUUCCUCAAAAAGUGAUACGCAGAGUUGCCGUAUGACCAGCCAGGUUUAUACCCAAGAGAGUUGAAAACAUAGGUUCACAAAAAUGAGUACGUGAGUAUUAAUAGCAGCAUGAUUCCUAGUAGCCAAAAAAGAGAACAAAUGUCCAUCAACUGAUGAAUGGAUAAACAAAAUGUGUCUCUCCAUACAGCGGAAUCUUUCUUGGCCACAGAGAGGAAUGAGCACUGACGACACACUACAACACGGAAGAACCUUGAAAACGUUAGUGCUCAGAAGCCAAAACACAAGGCCGCAUAUAUAUGCAACUCAUAUGUAUCCAUAUAUGUAAUAUCCAAAUACUGCAUAUAUAUGCAUUUAUGUGCAGUAUUCAGAAUAGGCAAAUCCAUAGAGACAGAAAGUAGGUCACUGGUCUCCGGGGCUGGGAAGGAGGGAAUGGGGAGUGGCUACGAAUGGCAUGGAGUUUCUUUACGGGGUGAAAAUGCCCUGGAGUAAGUGGUGCUAUCUCCACAACCCUGUGGAUAUGCUAAAAACCACUGAGUUGUACACUUUAAAAUUGGUGAAUGGUAAGUUCUGUGGAAUAUGAACUAUAUCUCAAAUAAACAACAAGUAGGUUACAAAAUAAUGUUUCAUAUAAGUGGUAGGAAGGCAGCCUCUAAAAUGACCCCCAGUGAUUUUCAUCCCCUUGUGUAUCCCUUGGUCUUUGGUGUGGGCCAGAUUUAGGGACUCAUAGCAAACAACACAGCAGAAGUGGUGGAAUGUCGCUUUUGAUACUAAGUUCUAAAAAGAUGGAGCCUGUCCAUCACCCUUCCUCUCACACGCAUCCCUCACUCUGGGGAAGUGGCUCCAGGCCCUGAGCAGCUCUGUGGAGCUCCCGGGUGGGGAGGAACUGCUGUCUCAGACAAGCCAUUGCAGACCUACGCCUGCCAACAGCCGCGAGAGUCAGCAUCCAGGUGGGUCCUUCCCCCGUCAAGCCUCGAGGUGACUUCAGCCAGCACGUCAACUGCAGCCACGUUACCCCUGGAUUCCCGACCCUCAGAAACCGUGAGAUAAUAAAGGCUUGUCGUUUUCAGCUGCUAAGUUUUAAGGUGAUUUGGAUAUUUUCUGAAGGGUCAUAGUAAGACCAUGCUUCCCUGCCUCAUGGAAGUUGUUGUGACCAGGUGACAGGCUUUGUCUAAGGACACAUGAAUGGAGGCAUCAUGUUUUACAUGUGUGCAGGGGCCUUGAAGAGGCAGAGCAGGAGUUCCCACAUUUGCACCCUGGAACAAACACAGCAGCGGCUGGUCUGCAGUGGUGGAGGCUGGCGCCAUCGGCCCGGGUCCCUGAGUGAGGACGAAAUUAAAGAACAGUCUGGUGGUGGAUACACAGACCUACACAGGGGAUUCAGUUAUAUAGCACAUAGCAUGCACGCGCAUGGGCACGCGCGCACACAUACGCGCGCGCAGAAAGGAGUACAAGACCGCGCGCAGAAAGGAGUACAAGACUGAGGAGCUCUGAAUACGACCAAUGUCCGUGUCCUCCACUGAAGAGCUAUAGCUUUGCAAAAAUGUCACCCUUGGGGGACAUUCAGUAAAGUGUUCAAGCCA